CUGGGGGGGUGGGGCAUCAGAGGGGGCUCUGUGUGUGUGUGUGAAAGAGAGUCAUUGUGUGAGUGUGAGAAGAAUUCUGAGUGACUGUGCCAGUGCGAGUGCAUGUAAUUUACAAACACCUCGCCGCUAACACCUCAGCCGAGGGACAAGAGCCGAUGCUGCCAGGGAGUGAGCACCACGUCCCUCCUCAUACGAUGCACUGAGAAGAACACAACCAUGCUUUUGUGAUGUUUCUGUCAAAAUGCUUCAGCUGAAUUUAAUCACAAAUAAACAAGCCCCAGUGAACAGACUUUCUACAAAAUAGGUGGUCAUCACUCUUCAGAAGUGGUGAGGUCAUGAAAGAAAUCAAGAACUGAGUCCUGUUGCAGAUCAGAGGGACUGAAGGAAGCAAGACGGGCAGACCCCAGCCUGCAUUGCCUCUACUUCUUGCGGGUCAACUCCACCUCCUUCUGCAUACCAGCCGCCUGCACCCCUGUCGAGCACUUGUUCUGUUCCUCCUACAAGGUGGUCUUCCAAAUCGGAACAGGAGCUGCAGAGGCUGCCUGGAAGGCGCACGCCGGGGGACCUGCAGCUCCAGAGGGCUGCCUGGCUGACAGCUGAACCCACGUGUGGUUAGGAAUGCCCAGCGCCCAGAGGCUUGGCUGGGAGCACUUGCUGUCCUCCCUCCCAGGUUCAGAAAAAAGAUGCUGAUCAGCAAGGGCUGCACGUCUUCCUCCUUCACCAACAACCCCCCGACUUGAGCAUGAUCCCCGCGGAAAACAUCAGUCACGCCAAGUUCCUGUGCUGCCCAUCCGGCAUGUGUAACCAAGAGGUCAAGGGUAGCUCCUCGGCCCCGCAAGUCAGGCUUCUGCUCAGCCUGGGGCUUGGCUUCCACCAGGCCCUGCUGCGAGGACCCUCCCUUCCUGCCCCCACCCCAACCCCUCCCUCUCUGUGGACUGGGUGACAGGGCCGACCCUCCAAGAUGAGGGUCCCCUGGGUGGGAGAGGCAGACUCACUGCCUCUCUUGCCUGGCAAGUCUGAGCAUGGUCCAGCCCCUCCGUCCUCCUAGUCCCAGUUUCGGGGGUGGCAGGUUCCUUCUGGUCCAGCUCACUCGUGCUGUCCACCUUAAGAGGGUCUUGCCCAACAAAGUGUCAACUCCAUCCCUUCUAUGCCAAUGAGAUGGGUGGUGACACUUGUCCCCCACAUGGACCCUGAAGUUCACAUCCCCUGGGGAAGCCUCCCAAGGGUGCCUGACAGGCAAUGGGAUCACAGAUCAAUAAAGCAAAAGCAAACAA